rnacentral:rRNA from 1 species
UACGUAGGGCGCGAGCGUUGUCCGGAAUUAUUGGGUGUAAAGAGCUCGUAGGCGGCCGGUUGCGUCUGCUGUGAAAUCCCGGGGCUUAACCCCGGGCGUGCAGUGGAUACGGGCCGGCUGGAGGCAGGCAGGGGAGAAUGGAAUUCCCGGUGUAGCGGUGAAAUGCGCAGAUAUCGGGAGGAACACCGGUGGCGAAGGCGGUUCUCUGGGCCUGUACUGACGCUGAGGAGCGAAAGCGUGGGGAGCGAACAGG